AGUAGGAAGCUUCCUAAGUUCACCCAUAGGAGCAGAAUCAUUGGGAACAGAGAUUUGCUCCUGUGAAUGCAGCCAAGUACAAGCAGGAACUGGAUGAAUUUGUCUCUGAAGAACCUGGACAUGACACUGAUGAACUUUAAACUACAUCUUUGGGAACUUAUUCCAUAUCUUGUGAUGGAUCAGAAGACAUGAAAAUAUGUUUCUGUCAGUCUGAAUAAAUGUUCUGAGUCUGUUGGAUGGAUGACA